ensembl:snRNA U6 U6 spliceosomal RNA
ACUUGCUUUGGCAGCAUGUAUCCUAAAAGAUUGGAACAAUACAGAAGAGAUUAGCAUGGAUCGUGUUCAAGAAUGCAGCAAAAAUUCAUGAAGUGUUCCAUAUUAAA